rnacentral:rRNA from 1 species
AAAUUGAAGAGUUUGAUCAUGGCUCAGAUUGAACGCUGGCGGCAGGCCUAACACAUGCAAGUCGAGCGGUAGCACAGAGAGCUUGCUCUCGGGUGACGAGCGGCGGACGGGUGAGUAAUGUCUGGGAAACUGCCUGAUGGAGGGGGAUAACUACUGGAAACGGUAGCUAAUACCGCAUAACGUCGCAAGACCAAAGUGGGGGACCUUCGGGCCUCAUGCCAUCAGAUGUGCCCAGAUGGGAUUAGCUAGUAGGUGGGGUAAUGGCUCACCUAGGCGACUAUCCCUAGCUGGUCUGAGAGGAUGACCAGCCACACUGGAACUGAGACACGGUCCAGACUCCUACGGGAGGCAGCAGU